rnacentral:tRNA from 1 species
GUGGCUAUAGCUCAGUUGGUUAGAGCACUGGAUUGUGGUUCCAGGGGUCGCCGGUUCAAAUCCGGUUAGCCACCCCA